rnacentral:rRNA from 1 species
GACGUAGGUGGCGAACGUUAUCCGGAAUUAUUGGGCGUAAAGGGUGCGUAGAUGGCCUGACAAGUUAGCAGUGGGAAAUCGAGGCUCAACCUCGUGGAAGCUGGUAAUACUGUCUGGCUCGAGUGCAGGAGAGGUUAACGGAACUCCAUGUGGAGCGGUAAAAUGCGUAGAUAUAUGGAAGAACACCAAUAACGGCGAAGGCAGUUAACUAUUCUGCUACUGACAUUGAGGCACGAAAGCGUGGGGAGCAAAAGG